rnacentral:rRNA from 1 species
CCUACGGGUGGCAGCAGUGGGGAAUAUUGCACAAUGGGCGCAAGCCUGAUGCAGCCAUGCCGCGUGUGUGAAGAAGGCCUUCGGGUUGUAAAGCACUUUCAGCGGGGAGGAAGGCGGUGAGGUUAAUAACCUCAUCGAUUGACGUUACCCGCAGAAGAAGCACCGGCUAACUCCGUGCCAGCAGCCGCGGUAAUACGGAGGGUGCAAGCGUUAAUCGGAAUUACUGGGCGUAAAGCGCACGCAGGCGGUCUGUCAAGUCGGAUGUGAAAUCCCCGGGCUCAACCUGGGAACUGCAUUCGAAACUGGCAGGCUAGAGUCUUGUAGAGGGGGGGAGAAUUCCAGGUGUAGCGGCGAAAUGCGUAGAGAUCUGGAGGAAUACCGGUGGCGAAGGCGGCCCCCUGGACAAAGACUGACGCUCAGGUGCGAAAGCGUGGGGAGCAAACAGGAUUAGAUACCCGUGUAGUC